CAGUGAGGGUGGCUGCGUGUUUCCGGAAGACGUGGCGGCUCUCGCCUGGGCUGUUUCCCGGCUUCAUUUCUCCCGACUCAGCUUCCCACCCUGGGCUUUCCGAGGUGCUCUCGCCGCUGUCCCCAACACUGCAGCCAUGAUCUCCUUAACGGACACGCAGAAAAUUGGAAUGGGAUUAACAGGAUUUGGAGUGUUUUUCCUGUUCUUUGGAAUGAUUCUCUUUUUUGACAAAGCACUACUGGCUAUUGGAAAUAAACUCCUGUAGCCUAUGAUGAAUAUUUCAGAACCAAGAGGAAUACCCUUGGGUGACAUAUUUAUGGGCAGCUUUCCUCUUUAUGCCUUGCCAACUCAUCUGCUUGACUAAGCCCUCCUCAUCCAGCUAAAACUAGGAAAACUACUGCAGACACAGAUGCCCCUUGGUUUUAUUUGUAGCCGGCUUGGCUUUUGUAAUUGGUUUAGAAAGAACAUUCAGAUUCUUCUUCCAAAAACAUAAAAUGAAAGCUACAGGAUUUUUUCUGGGUGGUGUAUUUGUAGUCCUUAUUGGUUGGCCUUUGAUAGGCAUGAUCUUCGAAAUUUAUGGAUUUUUUCUCUUGUUCAGGGGCUUCUUUCCUGUUGUCGUUGGCUUUAUUAGAAGAGUGCCAGUCCUUGGAUCCCUCCUAAAUUUACCUGGAAUUAGAUCAUUUGUAGAUAAAGUUGGAGAAAGCAACAAUAUGGUAUAACAACAAGUGAAUUUGAAGACUCAUUUAAAAUAUUGUGUUAUUUAUAAAGUCAUUUGAAGAAUAUUCAGCACAAAAUUAAAUUACAUGAAAUAGCUUGUAAUGUUCUUUACAGGAGUUCAAAACGUAUAGCCUACAAAGUACCAGCAGCAAAAUAGCAAAGAAGCAAUGAAAACAGGCUUCUACUCAAGUGAACUAAGAAGUCAGCAAGCAAACUGAGAGAGAUGAAAUCCAUGUUACGAUGCUUAUGAAACUCUUGAAGGCUAUUUGUAUUGUUUUUCCACAAUGUGCGAAACUCAGCUAUCCUUAGAGAACUGUGGUGCCUGUUUCUUUUCUUUUUCUUUUGAAAGCUCAGGAGCAUCCAUAGGCAUUUGCUUUUUAGAAAUGUCCACUGCAAUGGCAAAAAUAUUUCCAGUUGCACUGUAUCUCUGGAAGUGAUGCAUGAAUUCAAUUGGAUUAUGUCAUUUUAAUGUAUUAAAACCAAGGAAACCCCAUUUUUGAUGUAUGGAUUACUUUUUUUUUUGUAAACAUGGUUAAAAUAAAACUUUUGUGGUUCUUCUGAAUCUUAAUAUUUCAAAGCCAGGUGAAAAUCUGAACUAGAUAUUCUUUGUUGGAAUAUUCAAAGGUCAUUCUUUACUAACCUUUAGUUCCCAAAUUAUAACUGACUAAGUUUGGUCAGCAACAUACUCUAGAAAUUCUCAUACUUCUUGGGAGUCUGCCCUCCUAAGUAUCUGUUUAUAUCAUUCAUUACAUGUAAGUAUUUAACAAAAAAGCAUUCUUGACCAUGAAUGAAGUAGUUUGUUUCGUGGCUUGUCUCAUUGAAUAGUCUUGUUGAAGAUACUAAAUGAUGCAAACCAAAUGGAUUUUUUCCAUGUCAUGAUGUAAUUUUUCUUUCUUUUUUUUAAUUUUAGCAGUGGCUUAUUAUUUUGUUUUUCAUAAAUUAAAAUAACUUUUGAUAAUGUUUACUUUAAGACAUUAACAUGUUAAAAGGUUAAACUUAGGCUAUUUUUAAAGGGCUAUUCAUUUAAUCUGAGUUUUCCCUUAUUUUCAGCUUUUUCCUUUUAAGCAUGACAUAUCCUUCAUAUGAUCACUCGAGUUAAUUACAAAAUACAUGAGUUCACAUGCUAAAGUUAUUUCACUGUAAUUAAACUGGCUAUAGUUUCUUAAGAACAUGACACUAAAAAAAAAAUGUGUUCUUUUUUCCACCAUUGCUGAUUAUUAGACAGUAGGAAAUAGCUGUUUUCUUUAGUUUUACAAGAUGUGACAGCUUUAGUGAUAAAUGUAGGGAAACAUUUCAACAGCGAUAGUACUAUUUGUUUUACCACUGAUUGCGCUGUUUCCUUUUUUUAACAGUUGCAAAGCUUUUUAAUGCAUAAAAGUAUAAUUGAAAUGUGUGGUAUUUAUUUACAAACAUGUCUACAAAAAUAGAUUACAGCUUAUUUUAUUUGUAGUUAAAUCUCUUGAUACACAGAGAACUCCCAGUCUUGCUCAUCUAAAUAAGGAAAGACUUUGGUGUAUAGUGUAAUGGUUUAGUCUUGAGGAUUACUGACAUUUUUGGUACUUGGAUUUGACUUAAUGAUAUGUCUGUGAAAAUGCGGUAAUGACAAAUGGAGACUCCUACCUCAAUAGUUAAUGGAAUAAUAAGAGCCUACUGUUGUGUCUAAUGUUCUUCAAAAAAGUAAUAUCCUCACUUGGAGAGUGUCAAAUACAUACUUUGAGGAUUGACUUAUAUAAGGUGCCCUGUAGAACUCUGUUACACAUAUUUUCGACCCAUAUUAUUUACAAUGUCUUGAUAAUUCUACCUUUUUAGAGCAAGAAUAGUAUCUGCUAAUGUAAGGGACAUCUGUAUUUAACUCCUUUGUAGACAUGAAUUUCUAUCAAAAUGUUCUUUGCACUGUAACAGAGAUUCUUUUUUUCAACAAUCUUAAUUCAAAAGCAUUAGUAGACUUGAAAGGGUUUGAUAAUCUCCCAGUCCUUAGUAAGAUUGAGAGGCUGGAGCAGUUUUCAGUUUUAAAUGAGUCUGCGGUUAAUAUCAAAUGUGAGUUUGGGACUGCCUGGCAACACUUAUAUUUCUUAUUCAGAACCCUUGAUGAGACUAUUUUUAAACAUACUAGUCUUCUGAUAGAAAGCACUAUACAUCCUAUUGUUUCUUUCUUUCCAAAAUCAGCCUUCUGUCUGUAACAAAAAUGUACUUUAUAGAGAUGGAGGAAAAGGUCUAAUACUACAUAGCCUUAAGUGUUUCUGUCAUUGUUAAGUGUAUUUUCUGUAACAGAAACAUAUUUGGAAUGUUUUUCUUUUCCCCUUAUAAAUUGUAAUUCCUGAAAUACUGCUGCUUUAAAAAGUCUCACUGUCAGAUUAUAUUAUCUAACAAUUGAAUAUUGUAAAUAUACUUGUCUUACCUCUCAAUAAAAGGGUACUUUUCUAUUAA